UUAAAGGGCUGCAGUAUAUUGACUGUACAAAGGUAGCAUAAUCAUUAGUCAUUUAAUUGAUGACUUGUAUGAAGGAUUGGAUGAAAUAUAAACUGUCUCUUAAUUAUAUUUAGAAUUUAAUUUUUUAAUUAAAAAGUUAAAAUAAAUUAGAAAGACGAGAAGACCCUAUAGAGUUUUAUAAGUAAAAUUAAUUGAGAUUAUUUGUAAGGGUUAAAAUUAAGAUUAAUUUAUUUAUUUUGUUGGGGUGACAGAAAAAUAUAAAAAACUUUUUAUAUGUUUAAAACAUUAAUAAGUGGUUAAAUGAUCCAAUAUUAUUGAUUAUAAGAAAAAAUUACCUUAGGGAUAACAGCGUAAUUUUUUUUUUUAGUUCACAUAAAAAAAAAAGUUUGCGACCUCGAUGUUGGAUUAAGAUAAAAUUUAAAUGCAGAAG
rnacentral:rRNA from 1 species